GGUCGCGUAGCCUAGCAUGGAUAGGGCACCGGCCUUCUAAGCCGGGAGUCGCGGGUUCGAAUCCCGUCGCGACCG
rnacentral:tRNA from 1 species